CCCAGGCGGCGGCAACGCGGCGGGCUGCAGGGGCUCAACGGGUACCCACGUUUGCUUCCUCCGGCGCGCCUCUGGGCGUCUGGGUUUCCAGCUUCUUACACCAGAACUGUUAAAAGGAGUUUGUCUUCAGGAAGACUCAAUUAUACUGGACAUAAAGAGCUUCUUGAAAGGGCAUGAAAAACACAACACUGGAUGUAUGCCUGGGGACAGAAGUGACAGGCAGGAGGGGGAAAUAAAGAAGAAGACAGGAAAGACAGCAGCUUCAUAUCAGUGAC